ACUCAGAGUCUUGUCUAAGCACUUAUGCUGUGUUGCUUUUACGUACUAAAGUUAGCUCUAUUCUCUUUUCUCUUAUAUUUCCAUUUGCUGUUGUGCAUUGAUACUUGACUUUGUCUUUCUGCAAGGAAAAAUAUUUUCAGCAGUUAUUUCAUGUCCUUUCAGUACAGUCCUUCUCCUAAGGAGCAGAAGGAAAAUGUUUGGAGAUUUUUCAAACACAAAGGAUUCGCCAUGCACCACGUAUUGCUUUGAAAAAUCACAUGUGUGUGAUAAAAAGGUCAGGGAGGGAACACCUGCAGGUGGAAGAAAGAAAUAUUUGCAUCACUGACAGAGCUUUCUCUGCAACUGGGAUGGCCAAAUCUUUGGGAGCUGAACCCCUCUUCGGGAAAACAAAACUUAUCCUGUCAUCAACCCAUACAAAUGUGAUAUAUGCUGUUUGGCAUACUUAACUACAUAAAUCUUUCAUGGAAGUGUCCCUCUUCACUUCAUAAUAUCACAGCAGCCUAUCAAUUUCCUAUCUUCCCAUACUUGUUGAAGGGUGUAUUACAACUAUGCAGACUGAUUUUUAAAAACUUAAGGUAGAGGCCAAACAGUGCUGCAUUUAUCCACUUGUCUUCCAAAUCCAGACUGAACUAUUUUUUGCUGCGCUGGUGACCUCAAACAAGAAUAAGGAAAGUAUUUCAAAUUAAAAAAAAAAUUGUAUUAGUAUGGAUAGAAUAGACAUAGGAAAAAACAUCAAUAUCCAAAUCAGAGCAGGUUUCACAUAAGCUACACAAAUUUUUUGCACUUCCAUUAACAUUUGUGAUCCAUUAAUAUUACCAGUGUUAUCUGAGCUGCUAUCUUCAGUGAGUGAAAUAGCUACAAUUACUGCCUUAGUCAUUGCAGCACCCCAACAGGCUGAUCUUUUACAAGAACGAUGGCAGUAGUAGUCAUUCAGGUCAAAAUUAUAACACUGAGGAAAACGUUAGCUUCAUUCUAUCUAAUUUCCAGUCUGCAUUUCAUUCAUUGAGACUAUUUUCUUCUUCAUUUUUCUGGCUCUUCCACCCUUGAUUGUAUUUUCCUGUAAGCUGCUAAAUAUCAGUCAUUUUUAAUUCCAGAGCAAAAUCAGGGAAGUUCGUGAGUGGCAUUCAUCAUAAGGAUAUCAUAAGGAUAGGAUACAGACACACAAUGCCCACUUUUGAAGAAUAUUAAACAACAUUAAACACACAAAAAGUUCUGCUCUACAAUUUCUCUGCCGAUACUGGAUGUUCAGUGUUGUUCAAAAUUUAAAUGUUAAUGAAUUACUUCUUUUUUUUCCCCCCAACAAUGCUGAAGUAAUGACUGAAGUUAUAGCAGUUUCAAAGUUUGGUGAUAUCUGAUCAGUCUAAACAAUGAUAUGAAAAUGACCAAUGCAGAUUCUGAGAAGCAUAUGUCUUCUAGAUCCUCAGCGUUUCACUGAGGAGACAAUGAGUCACCAAUUCAAGGCAGAGUAAAAUGCAACAGAACCAAAAGCCCAUCUAUGAAAAUUCGUUUUCAGUUUCACAGCAGGACUGUAGCAUUGGUACAUUGACAGGCAUGUAUUCUUCAGCAGCCAAAGUCUGUGAGUGCUUUGUAUGUAGUUGUCUAGCUGGCUUCCAUUUUAUAAAGAAACAAAUAUAUGCUGUGCUUCUUUUGUAAACUCUAUUGGUUUGGCUGGCUGCAAUUUGUAUCUCUAUGUAUCUGUGGAUUAUUGUUAGACAAGUGCAACUACUCACUAAAGGAUAACUGUUCUAAGCAUACCAAUGUGUAUUUAAGAAACUUGAACUCAUUGAGUAUGACUUCUAAAAGCACUAGGUCAUUAAAAGGGUUUAAUAGAUCUAAUUACUUCACUGUCACAGAAUUAUAGGCUAUUAAUUCCUAGAAGAGAGCUAAGGGCACAUGACUCUCUUCCCUAUGCCAUUGGUAAAACCGAAAAAUAGUUUCAGUGUGAAGGUUUAGUCACAGUCAGUUGAAGUUACUCUGUGUCUUCAUAUCUGAUUCUGAGUGGAGACAAACCAGCUCUUUUUGUCACACGGAACAUUCUAAGCUGUUAUGGACACGGUUCAGAAGUUCCCUCGGAGCAGAGCCAGAUAAUGCCAUAUUCUCCAAAACACUCUUAUGCCAAGAGUUAUCAAAGUUACAUUUAUCAAAGUAACUUUAUCAAAGUUACAUUGAAAAUGUUACCAAUAAAAUAAAAUAAAAUAAAAGGAGAUAAAAAGAACACAACUGUUUUUUAAUCACCAGUCACUACAGAACUGUUAUUAAGCACUAUCUUAGUGCCUCCCCGAGCCCACUUACACAUUACCUCGAUUUUCUGCUACCUGCUUCAGCUCAUUUUUUAACUGCUGGACUUUUCACUAACAAAGUGCACAGGGAUUCACAUUGAAUUUUUCUGAGAAGAUGCAAAGGCCAAAACAAUAACAAAUAUGCAUUCUCUUUGACUUUUCUGGUUUGCUUUUGAACACUAAAAAAUCUGCAUUUAACAGAAUCCAGUCUAUUGAGUGCCUCCCCAACAUGUGGGACACCCAGACAUACGUUUAGCUACUCCUAGUGUGUUCAGUAAAAGGAUAGGUCAGACCUCAGCUGUAACCAAAGGGAUAGCUCACACAGAAGGGAGAAAGUCUGUAAGCUCUCUGCAAGCAAAUCUCCCACUGGGCUCAGGAACAGAUUUCUAUAUCUGACUUCAAUAUAACAGGUUCCACAGUAUGCCUGCAUAAAUCAAAGAGCAGUGUAUACACCACGCUUCCCCCCUUCACUAUUUAUACUCACUUGGAAUGAAAAAUAGCUCACCACCUGCCUCAUUUCUAUCAUAAUGUAACAGGUCACAGAGUUAACACUCUUCUGAUACAAAUGGCAGAAUAAAAUUACAAAAACGAUCACUCUUACACAGUCAAGAUAUUUGGCACCUCACUUGGAACUUUUCCAUAAGGAAUACAAACAUCUCAUAAACACACGAAAACGUUAUUUCAAGUAUGUGUAUUAUAUGUAAUAAAAAAACCCAACCAACAAAUGCAGCACACUUACAUUUGAAUCUUGGGUGUACUAAAAUUACUGAACUGCAAACAAGAACAUAAGGAUUCGAUAUUUUAGCCAAAUUGAAGUAAGUUCUUAGGAACAAUGGAUCUUUACUGAACAUAUGGAGUCUCUCUUCAAAGUAUAUCUUUGUUAUGACACACUGAAAAGCAUGAGACUUCCCCCCUAGAAAAAGUAAAGAGCUAAGAGAAAGAAAACAAUGUUAGGUAGCAAUAGCUAUAUCAGAUUGUAGAAUUGGAGUGAGUCUGACAACUGGAAGUAGGACAGCUUCAGAAUAACCUUAAAGCCACUUAUUUCAGGUGAAUGAACAACAGCAUUUGCUAGGAUUAGAUCCUAUGUAUCAUUAAAAAUACUCCAGAAACCAAGUGCAAACUCAGCAGAUGUGUGGGCUGUACUCAGGGGAAGUGCGAUGAAAGCGGAGGGAGAGCAGAUCUCAGGCCUGGAAGAACACAGAAAUAACCACCAUACCACCUCAACGACAGCAGAGGGCAGCAGUAAAAAAACAAAACAAAACACAACAAAACAAAACAAAACAAAACAAAACAAUUAUUAUUGAGGUUAUAUAAAAAUAGACCAAAGAAUAUUUGACACCAUUUGCAGCCUGAAACUAAUGAACAACCACAGGUUGCCUAAAUUUGUUGCUACUUUUCUGGUUUAAUGUCAAGCAGGCCUCUGUAGACAAUAUUCUGAGUGUGAGUGGGUUUAACUGAACUAAAUCUGUCAAGUUUAAGAAGUUUCAUAAAGUGAAAUCCAAAAUUUAAAGAAAAUUUUAUUCAUUAACAUACUUGUGAUAUACAGUGAUAUCAGUGAAAAACAAUACUUGCUUAGCUGAAAUUAAUUUCAAUGUCUUGGUUGUCUUGUCAACAAAUAUAGCAUAAAAUAUUGCUGUAUUAUUUACUUGCACCUUUAGUAGUCAUUAAAGAAGGUCUAGCAAUGGAGGGCUGGCUCACUUGUUACCUUUGUGGUGAUCCCAUAUUGAGAUUUCCUGGUGGAGCAGAGGCAGGAAACGUUCAUUCUGCCUAUUAUUUUAUCUGCUUAGUGCAUUAACAGAGGUAUUUAGUUCCUAGGGCUGUCAGUGCAGCAUUUUUCUUUUUCCAGUUGAGAUGAGUUGUAUCAGUGGGAAUUCAGAAAUGAGCAGAGACUGCACUAUCAGAGCCAAAACUUACUGCUCAUGUAUUCUGUGUUAGGGUUGUUUCAAGCUGUGAGUCCUUUCCACUACCUCUUAGGGAAUCUUUUCCACAACACAGCCAAUGUAGUUAUCAAGAUUUUUUCCUCAACUAAUGAGUGUAGCCCAAAUUGGAAUUAGGCAGUUUUAAUAUUCAAUUAUCAGGAAAGCUGAUUUGAACCAUAGCAGGGAGUACACGUGAGUAUCUUUCAGAUUUCUUUCAAAUUUGGGCACUUAGGUUGUUUUUGUUAGCAUUACUGCCACACUGAGACAAAUCAAAGUGAGAAAGGAGCAGAUAAACUUUAACAAAUACAAGAACGAAUGAACAGCGAAGAAAAAAAUACAACAACCAGACUUCAGCUAAAGGUACGCAGCAAACACUGCCAUGCUGGCACUCGGCAUGCAGGAGCUCCCUCUGCCUUCCAGAUUUUGGUACUGUUGCAGAAGGCAGAGUUUAAGCUAAUGGUAGCUGUACUGUAAUGAGUUACAGUAAUUGUUCUCCACUCGAAUCAAACAAUUUUGACACUACAUAAAAAUAAACUUGAAAUUAGGAAAGAGCACAUAUCGUCUCUCCAGUAAAGUAGGAAAGUAAGUUUGUGAAUGGCUCAGUUUGUGUAUCUGGUGAUGACAUGAGGCUGUCAAGCUCCUGUUAGAAGAAAAAUAUGUCAGUGGUUUUCACAAAUGAGGGAAAAAGCCACCUGCAAUGCCUGCCAUUUUACUAG
ensembl:lncRNA